rnacentral:tRNA from 1 species
GCCUUGGUAGCUCAAAUGGUAGAGCAAUGGACUGAAAAUCCAUGUAGAACAGGUUCGAUACCUGUCUAAGGCA